rnacentral:rRNA from 1 species
GACGAACGCUGGCGGCGCGCCUAACACAUGCAAGUCGAACGGAGUUCGAGAGAGCUUGCUUUUUCAAACUUAGUGGCGAACGGGUGAGUAACGUGUGAGUAACCUGCCCUGGAGUGGGGGAUAACAGUCAGAAAUGACUGCUAAUACCGCAUAAGCGCACAGUACUGCAUGGUACAGUAUGAAAAGCUCCGGCGGUAUGAGAUGGACCCGCGUUAGAUUAGCCAGUUGGCGGGGUAACGGCCCACCAAAGCGACGAUCUAUAGCCGGCCUGAGAGGGCGACCGGCCACAUUGGGACUGAGACACGGCCCAG